rnacentral:rRNA from 1 species
AUUGAACGCUGGCGGCAUGCUUUACACAUGCAAGUCGAACGGUAACAGGCCGCAAGGUGCUGACGAGUGGCGAACGGGUGAGUAAUGCAUCGGAACGUGCCCAGUCGUGGGGGAUAACGCAGCGAAAGCUGCGCUAAUACCGCAUACGAUCUCUGGAUGAAAGCGGGGGACCGAAAGGCCUCGCGCGAUUGGAGCGGCCGAUGUCAGAUUAGGUAGUUGGUGGGGUAAAGGCCCACCAAGCCAACGAUCUGUAGCUGGUCUGAGAGGACGACCAGCCACACUGGGACUGGGACCCGGCCCAGACUCCUACGGGAGGCAGCAGUGGGGAAUUUUGGACAAUGGGCGCAAGCCUGAUCCAGCAAUGCCGCGUGCAGGAAGAAGGCCUUCGGGUUGUAAACUGCUUUUGUACGGAACGAAACGGUCCGGGUUAAUACCCUGGGCUAAUGACGGUACCGUAAGAAUAAGCACCGGCUAACUACGUGCCAGCCGCCGCGGUAA